CCAGUCUUUUUAUGUUUUAUUUUGAGACAGGGUCUCACUAAGUUGCUUAGGCCACUAAGUUGCUGAGGCUGGCCUUGAUCUUGCCAUCCCCCUGCCUCAGCCUCCUGAGCUACAAGAAUUACAGCCUGGGCCACCAUGCCCGGCUCUUGUUAUUUCCUUCACUUUCCCUGCGUCUCUGUGCUCAUCCCCAGCAGGAAGCGCCAGGUGAGCUCACAGCCAGGUGCUCAGGGUCUGCUGCUCUGCCCUCCCCUGAAGAGGGAACCUGUGUCUCCCCGGAAGCAUCUCCAGGGCUGGGGGAUGGCUGGCCCUGGCAAGGGGCUCACCACCCUGUGCCCUGCACAGGCUGAAGGGAGAUGGAGCCCCAGGGAGGCCCUGAGAGGGGAGGCCCAGCCCUGGGUCACUCUCACCUGGAAAGGGCCAGCUCAGGAGUCACCAGGGGUAUUUGGUGCUAUGUCCCCUGGAGGGAUGAGGACAGAUCAGACAGACCGUGGGGGUGGACAGAGGAGACCCAACUCUGUCUGAAGGGCUGCAGAGACACUGCAUCCUGAGACAGCCACAUUCCUAGGAAAACAAGACCACGCAGGGAGGUGGGCUGUCCCCUUCCUGUGGGGCUGCAGGAGCCACAGCCCAGGAGGGAAGAACUGGCCCCAAGGCUGCUUAAUUCCCCUCUCCUGACACAGAGCUGUGGCCAGGGCAGCCCCAGCAGGGGGCACCAGGCUUCCUCCCCUCCCCUGGCACAGCAGGGCCUUUGCUGUGUGUCCUGCAGGCCCCUGGCUGGGUUCCUGGAGGUCAGUGUCAUGAUCUAGGGAUGCACUGUCCUGAGCUCCCUUUAGGGUUGAAGUGUCAGCAUUGCCCACAGGUGGCCUCCACAAUAGGACAAUGACAGGAUUUCCUCUGCUGGACAAGGAACUGAACCAAAACUUCUCCAAAGAUGCACAAAGGGUCCAAAAUAAUAUGAAACAAACAAACUGUGUUGGGCUUCUCUCGCCAGCAGGGGAGAGCAACACAAUA
rnacentral:lncRNA from 1 species